UCAAAAUGUGGGAGCAACAGGUUCUGGUCUGUCUGGUGUUGCUACUGUCUCGAGUACUCUUGGUGUACUUCGAGCUUACAGUCCAAAUUCGACAUCAGCAUCCUCCAGUAAUUUGUCAACUGUACAUAUGGGUGGACUAACAUGUAUAACUCAGCCGACGACAUAACUGGGGUCUGAGGAUACUGUUAUUGCACAAUUUUUGAGUAAUCCUGCCCAAGUUGGACCAAGCGAGUCUCCUGUCCUAUUUAGUGGAACAGUUGGUGCUGCAUCUACAUUUUCUCCAUUGGCAUCUAAUGACCUUCCUGAAAUAAGUGCUAUGGUGCCCCCUCCAUCAACAUCUGCUAAUCGUCUGGGAUCUAUUUUACCUGAACCUUUGAAUACUGGGGAUGCUUUGGAGAGAUACAAACAGGUUGCUCA